UGCGUAGGCGGAAUUUUAAGUCAGUGGUGAAAUCCUGCAGCUCAACUGUAGAACUGCCAUUGAUACUGAUCUUCUUGAAUUUAGUUGAGGUGGGCGGAACGUGUAAUGUAGCGGUGAAAUGCUUAGAUAUUACACAGAACACCGAUUGCGAAGGCAGCUCACUAAACUAACAUUGACGCCGAGGCACGAAAGCGUGGGUAGCGAACAGGAUUAGAUACCCUGGUAGUCC
rnacentral:rRNA from 1 species